AUGAAGACUCCAUGUGCUACGUCCAGCAUGUGGACUUUGGUCUGUAGCUCACCUACAAAGCCAUCAAUGCCAAGUUUGUCUGCCUGGGAGUGGUGCAGCACAAGUGAGUGUCACAUGGAUGACGGUCUGAGCCUGUCCCUUUAUCAUAGAGAAGAGUCCCAACCAACCAGACUCAUCCUCAGCACAGUCCUCUUCUUCACACACUUCAUCAAACAGGCCACCACACAGCCCUCUAGGGAACCUGGCUAACUGGGUUCCCCCAGAGGGAUUUAGCUGAGGAGACUUGAUGGUCUUAGUCAGCAGGGGAACGUUCCCUCUUUCAACCUGCCACUAGAGACAGUGGGCAUGAGUCUGCAGGAUUUGAUUGGCUACCUCCAGACACAAGGGGAGGGGCUAAGACCUGAGGCUAGGUAGAAAAGUGUGCGAGCACUGAAGAACAGUGUAGGUAAUGGUGAUUUAUUUAGCCUUGAAUCUAAUGUCCCCAGAAUAGCCACAACAAAAUAUGUGUUCUGUAGUUGUGUGUUUUUGUUUGAAAAUGUGCUGUUUUAACACUUUAUAUUUCUUUCUCUCUCAGGGGGUCAUCAGGUUUGGUCCUUGACUGCAUUGACCAUUUACACCUGUACAGCAACGCAACUCAUUUUGCUAAGCUGCUGGGAAAAGGGAGCAGAUGAGUGGGAGAACAUCCUCAACUACUUAUAUGAGCUACCAGGUGAGAAUGACCCACUCAGCAUAAAAUAAAUGUACUGUAGAGGACAGUAAUAUAUGCACCGUAAUUUCUGGACUAUUAAGCGCACCUGAAUAUAAACCGCACCCACUUAAUAAAAAAAAAUAUGUAUUUUGUACAUAAAUAAGCCGCACAUGUCUAUAAGCCGCAAGUGCCUACCGGUACAUUGAAACAAAUGAACUUUACACAGCCUUUAAACGAAAUACGGCUUGUAACAAAAAUAAAUAGACUUUUAAACGAAACACGGCUUGUUACAAAAAUAAAUAGGCUUUAACGAAACACGGCUUGUAACAAAAAUUUAAAAAAUAGUAGUAAACAGUAACCUACCAAGAAAGUCAUUGGUCACUGUGUCUUUUUUGACAAUGCUCCACGCUGUCAGCAGCUCUAUUUCCUUUUCCAACAGCCAUAUCGAUCGCCUUCAACUUGAAAGCUGCAUCAUAUGCAUUUCUCCGUGUCUUUGCCAUGAUGAGGGUGACAAAAUGACUACCGUAAUCAGAAUGAUGGGAAGUUUGAGCGCGCUCGAUUUACGUCACAUUACAGUGCCUUGCGAAAGUAUUCGGCCCCCUUGAACUUUGCCACGUUUCAGGCUUCAAACAUAAAGAUAUAAAACUGUAUUUUUUUGUGAAGAAUCAACAACAAGUGGGACACAAUCAUGAAGUGGAACGACAUUUAUUGGAUAUUUCAAACUUUUUUAACAAAUCAAAAACUGAAAAAUUGGGCGUGCAAUAUUAUUCAGCCCCCUUAAGUUAAUACUUUGUAGCGCCACCUUUUGCUGCGAUUACAGCUGUAAGUCGCUUGGGGUAUGUCUCUAUCAGUUUUGCACAUCGAGAGACUGACAUUUUUUCCCAUUCCUCCUUGCAAAACAGCUCGAGCUCAGUGAGGUUGGAUGGAGAGCAUUUGUGAACAGCAGUUUUCAUUUCUUUCCACAGAUUCUCGAUUGGAUUCAGGUCUGGACUUUGACUUGGCCAUUCUAACACCUGGAUAUGUUUAUUUUUGAACCAUUCCAUUGUAGAUUUUGCUUUAUGUUUUGGAGCAUUGUCUUGUUGGAAGAUAAAUCUCCGUCCCAGUCUCAGGUCUUUUGCAGACUCCAUCAGGUUUUCUUCCAGAAUGGUCCUGCAUUUGGCUCCAUCCAUCUUCCCAUCAAUUUUAACCAUCUUCCCUGUCCCUGCUGAAGAAAAGCAGGCCCAAACCAUGAUGCUGCCACCACCAUGUUUGACAGUGGGGAUGGUGUGUUCAGGGUGAUGAGCUGUGUUGCUUUUACGCCAAACAUAACGUUUUGCAUUGUUGCCAAAAAGUUCAAUUUUGGUUUCAUCUGACCAGAGCACCUUCUUCCACAUGUUUGGUGUGUCUCCCAGGUGGCUUGUGGCAAACUUUAAACGACACUUUUUAUGGAUAUCUUUAAGAAAUGGCUUUCUUCUUGCCACUCUUCCAUAAAGGCCAGAUUUGUGCAAUAUACGACUGAUUGUUGUCCUAUGGACAGAGUCUCCCACCUCAGCUGUAGAUCUCUGCAGUUCAUCUAGAGUGAUCAUGGGCCUCUUGGCUGCAUCUCUGAUCAGUCUUCUCCUUGUAUGAGCUGAAAGUUUAGAGGGACGGCCAGGUCUUGGUAGAUUUGCAGUGGUCUGAUACUCCUUCCAUUUCAAUAUUAUCGCUUGCACAGUGCUCCUUGGGAUGUUUAAAGCUUGGGAAAUAUUUUUGUAUCCAAAUCCGGCUUUAAACUUCUUCACAACAGUAUCUCGGACCUGCCUGGUGUGUUCCUUGUUCUUCAUGAUGCUCUAUGCGCUUUUGACGGACCUCUGAGACUAUCACAGUGCAGGUGCAUUUAUACGGAGACUUGAUUACACACAGGUGGAUUGUAUUUAUCAUCAUUAGUCAUUUAGGUCAACAUUGGAUCAUUCAGAGAUCCUCACUGAGCUUCUGGAGAGAGUUUGCUGCACUGACAUUUUUCAGUUUUUGAUUUGUUAAAAAAGUUUGAAAUAUCCAAUAAAUGUCGUUCCACUUCAUGAUUGUGUCCCACUUGUUGUUGAUUCUUCACAAAAAAAUACAGUUUUAUAUCUUUAUGUUUGAAGCCUGAAAUGUGGCAAAAGGUCGCAAAGUUCAAGGGGGCCGAAUACUUUCGCAAGGCACUGUAUGUGACGGUGCUCAGUUUUUUGGCGGCAUGAAUCUUGUGAAAGCGGGAAAAAUCCACAAAUUAGCCGCGUCAUUGUAUAAACCGCAAGGUUCAAAGCGUGGGAAAAAAGUAGCGGCUUAUAGUCCGGAAAUUACGGUAUAUAAACUCAGCAAAAAAAGAAACGUCCUCUCACUGUGAACUGCGCUUAUUUAAAAAAAUGUGUAUGAACAUAACAAGAUUCAACAAAUGAGACAUAAAGUUCUACAGACAUGUGACUAACAGAAAUGGAAUAAUGUGUCCCUGAACCAAGGGGGGGUCAAAAUCUUUUGAUUAACAGUCAGCAUCUGGUGUCUGUUAACCAGCUGUAUUAAGUA
rnacentral:lncRNA from 13 species